UCCCUUGUGAAUUGUGAAAUAUUAACUGUUCACGUUUUUGAAGAGUAUUCCGUAAAAAUGAGGAACUGUUUGUGCUUUUUUCUGUAUACUCUCUGUUUAAUGCUGUUUGUCUCCAAGAUAUGUGCAUUUACAGCUCUACAAUGGAAGGAUCCACCUGGAGCUGAUGUCCCAUGUACUACACCAGUUGGUAUUCUCCAAGUAGGAGAAUCAAAGAAAUCUUACACAGAGUGUAUCGAAUAUCAUUGUGGAACGGGUUAUAUUAACAUUGCCGGCAUCGGUUACAAUGGCGGGGUUUUUGAUUAUGAAGGAUGUUUCCAGGUAAAUUUGGAUAACUGUUGCUUUAAGUUUAUGAAUUCUACCAAUCCAUCUAAAAGCUGUACAGAACCUGAAUGUCCGUACAAAGAUUAAUAAUGUACUGGUUAUUAAUUGAUGCUGUAUUUCAAAAUACUUUUCUAGAUAAAAUAAUUGAAAUAUAAAUUGGCAAAUAAAAAUCAUCUGUGAGGUUGAGAA